UUGCCGAUUCGCACAUAUUGGAAUUUCGCUAACUCCUCCUAAGGCUUUCGUCCCACUGACACCAAAUUUGCUCAGGCCAAUCUACACUCCAUGGCCAUUCAAAGUUGUAAAAAUCAUGACGCGGCACCCCACGGUUUACGUUUUAGGGGGCGCCAAAGAUGACCCAAAUAUACAUUACAGUAGACAAAGUAGUUUUGCCCACUGAGUGGCGCCAAAGGGACUUGUCUGUGGAGUCUGUGAGUCACUAUUGGCCGUUUUUGACUACUUUAGAUUUUACCUUUAUAUUUCCUCUUACAAAAUUUUUACCUUGCCUUGCCUGGUAUCAUUUUUUUCAGCACAACCUCACCUGUGUCAAUUUACAGUUAUUUUAUCAUUUUGACAUACUAUAUUUACACAUUGGACCCAAAUUCACACACAAAACAUAAAAUUCGAGUGGAAAAAAGUAACGUUUUUACUGUGAAAACCACAAAUAUGUGUGAUGAACUGUUUUUAAAACUUAAACUUCAAAUAAAAAUUGUAAACUUCAAAACAUAUGCAAAUUUUUAACAAAGAACAUAGUGAUUUACCUCUAUUUACAUCAAAAUGCAGGCAAUGGCCCAGGCGUUCUUUGUAAAAUUAUUUACAAAACACUGUAUAGUCUCACAAAUGUCACUUUUUAUUUAUGCCACUACAAAAAAACAUGAUGUAAAUGAUGCAUGAUGUAAAACAUGAUGUAAAAAACUUGUGUAGAUCCUCCUCUAUGUCAGUCCAUGUGUAAUUUUUCCAUAAUUCUUUGUUUUUUGCAGCAUUUUUGUUAGUGUAACUGCAGAUUGUGCUGACAGUGUCUAUGGCACAAAAAAAAAAAAUUUAAAAUGCCUCAACAUGAACCCCUGGUGGUCUCUGAGGGUGAAACCUGCUAACUGCUUCAGUCUCCCAUGCAGAGCUCGGAGCGCAUGUGUGGCUCUGCACCCUUAGCAGCGUUGCUAACUCCUCAGUAAGGAAAGCCUGCUUCAUGUCAGAGUCUCUAAACUCCAGAAGAAGUCGAUAAAAGUCCCUUUCUUUCUAAAAAAAAGUCGUUAGGGGGUCUGAAAAGUCAUUGAAUCUAACAACAAAGUCGCUAGGUUUGCAACUACGUGUCCCAGACUGCAUCCCUGCUGAGAGUCCCUCCCUCGCUUCUCAUGUUGCAGGAAGAACGUAAGCGCCCGCCCCUUGUCAAUCAGUCACCAUAUAAUUUUGGAUUGGUUGUUGUGGUGAAGCUUUCCACCAAUAGGAGAGAUGUUGUGGUGUGUUUUUUUUUUCUUUUGGCAAGCCUUUUCCGCCUGUAAGACCUGUCGCUAAUGUCUGCAUGCUAUGUUUUCCUGUCUCAUACAGCGCGAUCGAGCGCCAAACGUGAUCAAAAUAAGCAGAAAAAAAGUAUCGCGGACAUAAUUUAUCAUAACUCUGGUUUUAUUUGGCCUAUCAAGACAAUUUAAAAACUGGUAUAUAGGUUGAGGUCCUCACUUUUGAGAUAAGUUGAAACGGAGAGUCAACGAGGCUCCGUCUUGCAGCUACAUCCGGUUAAAUAUGUCAUGUGACUUGAACGCACACACACACACGCACACACACACACACACACACACACACACACACACACACACUCAGAGUCUGGUUUUUAGCACCUGCAAAAACAUGCUAUUUACAUAUUUGACAAGAAUGCAGAGGCUCCUUUUGCCCCUGAAAAAAAUCAAAUUUCAAACACAACUUGACUGGUCAUUUCUCCAAAAGACAACCAUGAAGCUCCAUCCAAACCUGAAGCAGGCAGUUGGUGCAUGUGUACAGUAACCUGAGGGGAGUGAGGUGAGUGCUUCUGAGGAGAACAUGAGCAGUGAAGAUUCACCUUGGAGCUAGAACAGAGACAUGCACAUGAUUAUACAGGGGCAGGGGCUCAAGUUUUUUCCAGUCGUUUAUACAAUAUGGAAAUUAAUGUGAAAUUAAAACACAAAGUAUUAAUAGAAAGGUAAUGACUGUCCUGUGUAGGUGACAGUGAUAUCCAAUAGGCUAGGCACUCACGAGGCUGGCUGUGGCAAGUGUAAGUGAAAGCAACACGCACUGGCAGGAAGAACAGCAAACGCCGAUGAAGGAAAAGGGUCUUUGCAGUGAUGGGCGUUACCAGAGAGGGCGAUGGCCAGAGGACACAAAUGGGACGGGGAGGCAGCACGUUGGGGGGGGGACGCGACACGGCUCGGGCCCGCCAGUGCCCCAACGGGGUCCUAGUCUUCUUUAGGGCCCGAGCGUAGCUGCUAAGCAGCUGCGAGAGCCCUAUUAUUCCUGAUGGAUUCUUCUUAGGGCCCGAGCGUAGCUGCUAAGCAGCUGCGAGAGCCCUCUUGUUCCUGCAUGUUUCCUUCUUUCGUUAUUAUUUUUCCUCCGCUUUAAACUGGAAAAUGGCCCACUUCCCACUGGCGAAAACUCAGGAAAUUUGGCAGGACGACCGGGCCUGGUGAAAAAUUCGAUAUUCUGAAGUCGCCCAAACAAUAAAAUGCAAAAUGGCUCCAUAGCGCCCCCUAAGGUGAAAAUUCACAUGACGGCUGUACGCUUUGUCAUAUUGACACAAAAAUUGACACACACGUGUAUCUCAAUAAGAUCUACAAAAAAGUCAGUGUGGGCGUAUCUGUCAAAUGUACGGUUAAUGGGUUAUUUUUCCAUUUUUUGCAGAUCUGCACACAUUGGAAUUUCGCUAACUCCUCCGAAGGCUUUCGUUCGACCGGCACCACAUUUGCGCAGGCCAAUCUACACCCCAUGGCCAUUAAAAGUUGUACAAAUCAUGACGCUGCACCCCACGGUUUAUGUUCUAGGGGGCGCCAAAGAUAACCCAAAAAUCCACAUUCUUAAAAGUGUUAUAACUUUUUACUUUUGUCCUCACUGGCCUCCAAGUUUUCUAGGAUGAUGCAAUGUCCAGCCAUCAACACAUUUGUGAAGGAAUUUUUACUCCCCAAAAGAGCGCCCCCCAAUGGCAGGAGAAAAAGGUCCAUUUUUUCUUGUCUCCAAAGGUCAAAAUACACAUUGUCGAGUGUCACGCCUGUAUGCUUUGUCAUAUUGACACAAAAUUUGACAAUCACGUGUAUCUCAAUAAGAUCUACGAAAAAGUCAAAGGGCAUGUAUCUGUCAAAUGUACGGUUAAAGGGCUAUUUUGCAUUUUUUGCUGAUCCGCACACAUUGGAAUUUCACUAACUCCUCCGAAGGCUAUCUUUCCACCGGCACCAAAUUUGCUCAGGCCAAUCUACACCCCAUGGCCAUUAAAAGUUGUACAAAUCAUCUUGCUGCACCCCACGGUUUGGGUUCUAGGGGGCACCAAAUAUAACCCAAAAAUCCACAUUCUUAAAAGUGUUAUAACUUUUUAUUUUUUUCCAUACUGGCCUCCAAGUUUUUUAGGAUGAUGCAAUGUCCAGCCAUCAACACAUUUGUGAAGGAAUUUUUACUCCCCAAAAGAGCGCCCCCCCAUGGCAGGAGAAAAAAGUCCAUUUUUUCUUAUCCCGAAAGGUGAAAAUACACGUUGUUGAGUGUCACGCCUUUACGCUUUGUCAUAUUGACAAAAAAAUUGACAAUCAUGUGUAUCUCAAUUAGAUCUACGAAAAAGAGUCAAAGAGCGCGUAUCUGUAUAAUGUACGGUUAAAGGGCUAUUUUGCAUUUUUUGCCGAUUCGCACACAUUGGAAUGUGGCUAUCUCCUCCUAAGGCUUUCGUCCCACCGAUACCAAAUUUGCUCAGGGCAAUCUACACCCCAUGCCCAUUCAAAGUUGUAAAAAUCAUGACGCUGCACCCCACGGUUUACGUUCUAGGGGGCGCCAAAGAUGACCCAAAAAUCCACAUUCUUAAAAGUCAUUUUGGCCACUGCAGGAGUACAGAGUACUGCAGUUCUAGGGGGCGCCAAAGAUGACCCAAAAAUCCACAUUCUUAAAAGUCUUUUUGGCCACUGCAGGAGUACAGAGUACUGCAGGAUACACACACAUAUACACACACGCCAACAUACACACACACACACACACACACACACACACACACACACACACACACACACUCAGAGUCUGUUUUUAAGCACCUGCAAAAACAUGCUGUUUACAUAUUUGACAAGAAUGCAGAGGCUUCCUUUUGCCCCCUGAAAAAAAUCAAAUUUCAAACACAACUUGACUGUUCAUUUCUCCAAAAGACAACCAUGAAGCUCCAUUUCAAACCUGAAGCAGAUAGUUGGUGCAUGUGUACAGUAACCUGAGGGGAGUGAGGUGACUAUUUCUGAGGAGAACAUAAGCAGUGAAGAUUCACCUUGGAGCUAGAACAGGGACGUGCACAUGAUUAUACAGGGGCAGGGGCUCAAGUUUUUUCCAGUCAUUUAUACAAUAUGGAAAUUAAUGUGAAAUUAAACCACAAAUAUGUGUGAUGAACUGUUUUUAAAACUUAAACUUCAAAUAAAAAUUGUAAACUUCAAAACAUAUGCAAAUUUUUAACAAAGAACAUAGUAAUUUACCUCUAUUUACAUCAAAAUGCAGGCAAUGGCCCAGGCGUUCUUUGUAAAAUUAUUUACAAAACACUGUAUAGUCUCACAAAUGUCACUUUUUAUUUAUGCCACUACAAAAAAACAUGAUGUAAAUGAUGCAUGAUGUAAAACAUGAUGUUAAAAACUUGUGUAGAUCCUCCUCUAUGUUAGUCCAUGUGUAAUUUUUCCAUAAUUCUUUGUUUUUUGCAGCAUUUUUGUUAGUGUAACUGCAGAUUGUGCUGACAGUGUCUAUGGCAAAAAAAAAAAAAAACUGAAAAUGCCUCAACAUGAACCCCUGGUGGUCUCUGAGGGUGAAACCUGCUAACUGCUGCAGCUCUGUCAGCUUUAGUCUCCCAUGCAGAGCUCGGAGCGCAUGUGUGGCUCUGCACCCUUAGCAGCGUUGCUAACUCCUCAGUAAGGAAAGCCUGCUUCAUGUCAGAGUCUCUAAACUCCAGAAGAAGUCGAUAAAAGUCCCUUUCUUUCUAAAAAAAAGUCGUUAGGGGGUCUGAAAAGUCAUUGAAUCUAACAACAAAGUCGCUAGGUUUGCAACUACGUGUCCCAGACUGCAUCCCUGCUGAGAGUUCCUCCCUCCCUUCUCAUGUUGCAGGAAGAACGUAAGCGCCCGCCCCUUGUCAAUCAGUCACCAUAUAAUUUUGGAUUGGUUGUUGUGGUGAAGUUUUCCACCAAUAGGAGAGAUGUUGUGGUGUGUUUUUCUUUUUCUUUGGCAAGCCUUUUCCGCCUGCAAGACCUGUCGCUAAUGUCUGCAUGCUAUGUUUUCCUGUCUCAUACAGCGCGAUCGAGCGCCGAACGUGAUCAAAAUAAGCAGAAAAAAAGUAUCGCGGACAUAAUUUAUCAUAACUCUGGUUUUAUUUGGCCUAUCAACACAAUUUGAAAACUGGUGUAUAGUUUGAGGUCCUCACUUUUGAGAUAAGUUGAAACGGAGAGUCAACGAGGCUCCGUCUUGCUGCUACAUCCGGUUAAAUAUGUAAUGUGACUUGAACGCUGGGGAGCGUCAAUCGACUGCAGAGCCAGCAGACAAAGUAGUUGUGGCCACUGAAAGGCACAUAUUUGUCAUAUGCUAUAAUCCUAACAUAUUUUAAUGCUUUUUCUAUUUAAACCUAAUGGAUCUAAGGUUUGACCUUCAAAAUUUAGGAAGAAUAUGUUUUUGCAGUAAUGACCCCGUUAAACAACCAGAGGUCCUUUCCUAAAGUUUAUGGAAAUUUUAGUGAAGGCCUUGGUUUCUUUCCUUGCAAAAUGUAUAGAAAUAAUAAAGCUAAAUUCCAUAAAAAGGUCUUGGCGUAUUAGCAGUGAUAUAAAAUAGUGGUUUGAAUAUGAAUGAACAACAACAAAAAAAAAACAUCAACAGAGCCUUUUUGAGUUGGGAUUCUUUCAUUAUCACACAAAAACAGACAUAGAAAGACAUCUAAAGGGUAAGGGAAUGAUCAGCCCUCCUAACUCUCAGAUGAAUCUUCAAAAUUCACCUCAGAAAUAUGCUUAUUAUUCUUCUCAGAGUACUGCAGGAUAUACACACACACACUCAGAGUCUUUUUUUUAGCACCUGCAAAAACAUGCUAUUUACAUAUUUGACUAGAAUGCAGAGGCCCCUUUUUGCCCCUGAAAAAAAUCAAAUUUCAAACACAACUUGACUGCUCAUUUCUC